UGGGUUUUGAGUGAAAUCCAAUCGCUACAACUAUGCAAUACACCAACCACUCCAUUUCAGAACGAACUUCGUACGAACCUGAAUUGUCCAAUUUCAUGGGCCAAUCGAUCUCGGAUUGAGUCCACAAGUUGGGGAUCAUCAUAAUGCGGUGGGAGGAGUCAUUUGGUGGGUUUUGAGUGAAAUCCAAUCUCUACAACUAUGCAAUACACCA
rnacentral:lncRNA from 1 species